rnacentral:rRNA from 1 species
GAUGAACGCUGGCGGCGUGCCUAAUACAUGCAAGUCGAGCGAACGGACGAGAAGCUUGCUUCUCUGAUGUUAGCGGCGGACGGGUGAGUAACACGUGGAUAACCUACCUAUAAGACUGGGAUACCUUCGGGAAACCGGAGCUAAUACCGGAUAAUAUUUUGAACCGCAUGGUUCAAAAGUGAAAGACGGUCUUGCUGUCACUUAUAGAUGGAUCCGCGCUGCAUUAGCUAGUUGGUAAGGUAACGGCUUACCAAGGCAACGAUGCAUAGCCGACCUGAGAGGGUGAUCGGCCACACUGGAACUGAGACACGGUCCAGACUCCUACGGGAGGCAGCAGUAGGGAAUCUUCCGCAAUGGGCGAAAGCCUGACGGAGCAACGCCGCGUGAGUGAUGAAGGUCUUCGGAUCGUAAAACUCUGUUAUUAGGGAAGAACAUAUGUGUAAGUAACUGUGCACAUCUUGACGGUACCUAAUCAGAAAGCCACGGCUAACUACGUGCCAGCAGCCGCGGUAAUACGUAGGUGGCAAGCGUUAUCCGGAAUUUAUUGGGCGUAAAGCGCGCGUAGGCGGUUUUUUAAGUCUGAUGUGAAAGCCCACGGCUCAACCGUGGAGGGUCAUUGGAAACUGGAAAGCUUGAGUGCAGAAGAGGAAAGUGGAAUUCCAUGUGUAGCGGUGAAAUGCGCAGAGAUAUGGAGGAACACCAGUGGCGAAGGCGACUUUCUGGUCUGUAACUGACGCUGAUGUGCGAAAGCGUGGGGAUCAAACAGGAUUAGAUACCCUGGUAGUCCACGCCGUAAACGAUGAGUGCUAAGUGUUAGGGGGUUUCCGCCCCUUAGUGCUGCAGCUAACGCAUUAAGCACUCCGCCUGGGGAGUACGACCGCAAGGUUGAAACUCAAAGGAAUUGACGGGGACCCGCACAAGCGGUGGAGCAUGUGGUUUAAUUCGAAGCAACGCGAAGAACCUUACCAAAUCUUGACAUCCUUUGACAACUCUAGAGAUAGAGCUUUCCCCUUCGGGGGACAAAGUGACAGGUGGUGCAUGGUUGUCGUCAGCUCGUGUCGUGAGAUGUUGGGUUAAGUCCCGCAACGAGCGCAACCCUUAAGCUUAGUUGCCAUCAUUAAGUUGGGCACUCUAAGUUGACUGCCGGUGACAAACCGGAGGAAGGUGGGGAUGACGUCAAAUCAUCAUGCCCCUUAUGAUUUGGGCUACACACGUGCUACAAUGGACAAUACAAAGGGCAGCGAAACCGCGAGGUCAAGCAAAUCCCAUAAAGUUGUUCUCAGUUCGGAUUGUAGUCUGCAACUCGACUACAUGAAGCUGGAAUCGCUAGUAAUCGUAGAUCAGCAUGCUACGGUGAAUACGUUCCCGGGUCU